GCUUUAAUAGUUUAAUAAAAACAUCGGUCUUGUAAGCCGAAAAUAAAAUAAUAAUUUUUUAAAGCU
rnacentral:tRNA from 1 species